GUGUGGGGUUGUUUUCUUUGGAUGGAUAUGUGGCAUUGCUGUUCCUGCUCACAGGCAAGCAGAUUUGUAACCAGUGUCUCUUCAUACCAAGUGCUCGAGCAAGAACAGAAAAUGCCUCAAGCCUGGCAGUAAAUUCCACAAGCAGAUUCAGAGCGUGCUGACCCAAAGAGUGAAAUGAAACACGAGAGAAGGCAUUUCCAUUGAUGAAUAAGAAAUCUCUGUCCUCUUUCUGGGAACCGUAGACAUCAGCUGGGUUGGACCUGGAGCGAGUAUUGCUGCUGGAGGUCAGGAAGUAAAAAAGUGAAACUCUGUCUUGUAAACCUGGAAGUGAAUGCAGAGUACAGCUUAGUAGAAAUUACUGACUUUCCCAGACAACCUGAAUGUAAGUAGAUGUAGCAGAAACACUAAGUCAUGGCCUGAAGCAGUGAUUGAGCACCUGGUGGGAAGGCAGGGCCAACGUGGGGAGCUCACGUGUGUGCAAUGCAUCUGAGUGACCAGAAGGUAUGGAGCCAAGAUUCACCCUCCCAGACCUCAUUUAAGGGUUGGCAAAGCAGAAUUCCAGGGCUCAUCAACUCCAGAACAGCAAUGGGAAGGGAUGAAGGAAUGGCUUUAAUGGUUCUUUGACAAGUUAGUUGAGAAAUUCCCUGUUUUUAAGGACCUUACUCAAAGGCUUAGUACGUUCUGUGAAGUUGUAGGGAAAAAAAAAGAUGUCAUUUAAGAAGAUAAUUGAAAGCACAACAAAUCCAUUGAGCUGAGUGGCUGAGGUGUUUCGUGCUUGAGUCCCGCUGGAAGCCCUCAAACAUUAGAAGGAUAUGCCAUAGGAAAAGAGGAAUAUUUGAGGAGCAUCUGGAGAGAUGGGCUUUAUCGGUCCUCUUCCCUAUUUAUGCUUAUUAGAGAUGAAAUUGAAGUGCAGCACGAUUGAGUUAUGCAUAUAAAGAAGAGUCCACAAACAAGAAAACAUAAGCAAUGUGGGAAGGAACAGAACUGCAAAGAGAACGAGAGGAGCGAAACUGAACAGGAUGCCAAGCUGCAAAAGACAUUUCAACAGCACCUAAUUAAAACCGUUCACAUUUGCAACAGACAGAAGGUAAAGGCAUUCACUAGGAAACAGAAGAAAGGGGAAAAAAAGAAAAAAAAAAACCCAACACAUUAAAAGCAGUUAUUUAGUCAAUCACGGGAGAUUCUGGAAAAAAUGACAACCUCGAAGGAAGGCCGGUUGAGUAACAAGAAAUGCAAGGAGAGUUUGGGGGUUAUUUCCAUUUGUCUCCCAGCGGAACGGAGAGACUUCAGCUGUUAAUAAUGAGAAAAAUCCUGUGCAGCAGCCCCUACCCACAGCACUUGGAGCCGAUGGGGAGCAGGCAAUGCCAACGUUGAGCAUUUAUCUCCACGCGCUGAUUUGAAUAAGAUCACAUAGCAACCAACCCAGGACUGGGAAAUCAACCCACUUUUCCCAGGUCCCACUCCAGUGCCUUAAUCAUGAAAUUAUCUGCCAGCUUCUUUUGUUAAUUAAUGAAUCUUCAUCUUUUUGGCUUUAGAAACCAUAGACGCAGCAGCAGUGGCAAGGCUGAAAAUCCAGCACGGUACUUUUGGUAGCAGGAAGAGCUGACAACAGUUUUUCUCAUAACCUGUUAUGUUCACCACUGGUUUGCCUGGUUUCAGCUGCGUAGCAGAGCAGCACAAGCUUAAAAGUGGAAUAAUCAUGACAAAUGAGUCCUCAGCCAUCUUUCAAAGAGAACAAAUGAAAUUUCCACUCGUAUGACAAAAUCACAAGAGAUGAAAAAGCAAGAGGAAGAAGCUACACUGUGCUCUGCUUGUCUCUGUCUAAGCAAAAUCACUUCAAUAAUUGGUGAACACAGUAUGAAAAAUAACAAAUAACAUAUGAAAGGGAAGAGAGUAGCAUGGCAUGUCUGAGAAGGAAAAUGGGAAGGGUUUUUUUUCUUUCAUGUGGAGGAGCCUUUGCUUUCAGAAAGAGCUAGUGAGGUGAAAAUGGAGCUUUCUUGCUGGAGAGAGGCUGAUUUAUGGGUACACGAGGAAUCUUGCCAUUCAGAGAUAAGGUACCUGAGUGCUUCGUUAACAAUGACUGAUGAAGAAGCAAUCAGAACUGUAAGAAGGAGCUUUUCGUUAAGUAGAUCAGGAGCUGUCAGAGGCCUUUGGCCACCCGCCCUCCUGAGAUUGGGUCAUCCUCUC